AGGCAGAAAAGGUGAGCCGAGUGCUCACCUGAUCCUUCCCUAGCUGGACAAAGCCAACCACCGCGUCCCCUCCUAAACCGCAGCAAACCCUAGCCUGCUCCCUCUUCAUCCUUGUGCCGCCGCCCCAUCUUUUCCCUUGACCACGCAGAAGAAAGGGACAAAAGUUUCAGACAAAAACACCGCACACAUCCGCCGCAGCAUCGCCGUCGCCCCGUCGUCUCCGACCACCUUUCGCCGAACCAAGGCCCCCAAGAGCUUCCCCUCGUCACGCUGUUCAUCCUCGACCCAAGAACUCUCGAAUCGAGCACGCAAUCGACGCCAACGACCCCGUCCUCUUCCCCGACUCCGGCGAGGAAAUCGUUCUUUCCGGCCGCCUCCGACCUCUUCCAACCCAGCCGAAGUGUUCAUCGACUUCCUGGUGAGAUGGCGCCCCUUUUCCCUCUCUUUUCUGUUCUGUUUGCUCGCUGUUCGGCUUCGCCAAAAUCUGACGAAACUGUCGAUGUUUCUGUCUGAGAGAAAAUCGCCGGAAGAACCUCGAGCUCGCCGUCGCCAGAAGUCGUCGUCCGCCGCGCCGCGCGUGGGGAUGGUUCAUCCGUGAUCACCUCUUCCUCCUCGACGUUUUCCUGGAGCCGGAGAAGCUUGGAAGGACAAGGCCGACCUCGUCCUCCUCCCGAGACUGCAACGCGUUUUCUUCCUCUACGUCCUCGUCUCCGUCGCCUCGAUCUUCUUCGACCCGUUUACAAGCGCGAUCCAGCGCUUGGAGUUACUUGAAGAAAUAGUCCUGAGUCUGCUUCUAAUCAACAACGUCACAGCAGCCCAGUUGGUUUGCUUCUUGGUAUUGUCCCGGCAUUUGAUGGUUCAGUUCCCAGAUCAGGCUAUUUAAAAGCCAAUCCUUUUUACACAGUUUCUUCAUUCGUGCCUCGCUUCUUCAUGGAUAGGGCGUUGAGUUGAUGCGGACAAGUUCUCCGGAUGUUCCUCGGCAAGCUUCAACAGG